AGAGUUUGAUCCUGGCUCAGAUUGAACGCUGGCGGCAUGCCUUACACAUGCAAGUCGAACGGCAGCCCGGAGCUUGCUCUGGUGGCGAGUGGCGAACGGGUGAGUAAUAUAUCGGAACGUACCCUAGAGUGGGGGAUAACGUAGCGAAAGUUACGCUAAUACCGCAUACGAUCUAAGGAUGAAAGUGGGGGAUCGCAAGACCUCAUGCUCGUGGAGCGGCCGAUAUCUGAUUAGCUAGUUGGUAGGGUAAAAGCCUACCAAGGCAUCGAUCAGUAGCUGGUCUGAGAGGACGACCAGCCACACUGGAACUGAGACACGGUCCAGACUCCUACGGGAGGCAGCAGUGGGGAAUUUUGGACAAUGGGCGAAAGCCUGAUCCAGCAAUGCCGCGUGAGUGAAGAAGGCCUUCGGGUUGUAAAGCUCUUUUGUCAGGGAAGAAACGGUGAGAGCUAAUAUCUUUUGCUAAUGACGGUACCUGAAGAAUAAGCACCGGCUAACUACGUGCCAGCAGCCGCGGUAAUACGUAGGGUGCAAGCGUUAAUCGGAAUUACUGGGCGUAAAGCGUGCGCAGGCGGUUUUGUAAGUCUGAUGUGAAAUCCCCGGGCUCAACCUGGGAAUUGCAUUGGAGACUGCAAGGCUAGAAUCUGGCAGAGGGGGGUAGAAUUCCACGUGUAGCAGUGAAAUGCGUAGAUAUGUGGAGGAACACCGAUGGCGAAGGCAGCCCCCUGGGUCAAGAUUGACGCUCAUGCACGAAAGCGUGGGGAGCAAACAGGAUUAGAUACCCUGGUAGUCCACGCCCUAAACGAUGUCUACUAGUUGUCGGGUCUUAAUUGACUUGGUAACGCAGCUAACGCGUGAAGUAGACCGCCUGGGGAGUACGGUCGCAAGAUUAAAACUCAAAGGAAUUGACGGGGACCCGCACAAGCGGUGGAUGAUGUGGAUUAAUUCGAUGCAACGCGAAAAACCUUACCUACCCUUGACAUGGCUGGAAUCCUUGAGAGAUCAGGGAGUGCUCGAAAGAGAGCCAGUACACAGGUGCUGCAUGGCUGUCGUCAGCUCGUGUCGUGAGAUGUUGGGUUAAGUCCCGCAACGAGCGCAACCCUUGUCAUUAGUUGCUACGAAAGGGCACUCUAAUGAGACUGCCGGUGACAAACCGGAGGAAGGUGGGGAUGACGUCAAGUCCUCAUGGCCCUUAUGGGUAGGGCUUCACACGUCAUACAAUGGUACAUACAGAGCGCCGCCAACCCGCGAGGGGGAGCUAAUCGCAGAAAGUGUAUCGUAGUCCGGAUUGUAGUCUGCAACUCGACUGCAUGAAGUUGGAAUCGCUAGUAAUCGCGGAUCAGCAUGUCGCGGUGAAUACGUUCCCGGGUCUUGUACUCACCGCCCGUC
rnacentral:rRNA from 1 species